AUUGAACGCUGGCGGCAGGCCUAACACAUGCAAGUCGAGCGGAUGAAGGGAGCUUGCUCCUGGAUUCAGCGGCGGACGGGCGAGUAAUGCCUAGGAAUCUGCCUGGCAGUGGGGGAUAACGUCCGGAAACGGGCGCUAAUACCGCAUACGUCCUGAGGGAGAAAGUGGGGGAUCUUCGGACCUCACGCUAUCAGAUGAGCCUAGGUCGGAUUAGCUAGUUGGUGGGGUAAAGGCCUACCAAGGCGACGAUCCGUAACUGGUCUGAAAGGAUGAUCAGUCACACUGGAACUGGGACACGGUCCAGACUCCUACGGGAGGCAGCAGUGGGGAAUAUUGGACAAUGGGCGAAAGCCUGAUCCAGCCAUGCCGCGUGUGUGAAGAAGGUCUUCGGAUUGUAAAGCACUUUAAGUUGGGAGGAAGGGCAGUAAGUUUAUACCUUGCUGUUUUGACGUUACCAACAGAAUAAGCACCGGCUAACUUCGUG
rnacentral:rRNA from 1 species